rnacentral:rRNA from 3 species
UCUCCUGGAAAACGGGUGGUAAUGCCGGAUGCUCCAGUUGAUCGCAUGGUCUUCUGGGAAAGCUUUCGCGGUAUGGGAUGGGGUCGCGUCCUAUCAGCUUGACGGCGGGGUAACGGCCCACCGUGGCUUCGACGGGUAGCCGGCCUGAGAGGGCGACCGGCCACAUUGGGACUGAGAUACGGCCCAGACUCCUACGGGAGGCAGCAGUGGGGAAUAUUGCACAAUGGGCGCAAGCCUGAUGCAGCGACGCCGCGUGAGGGAUGGAGGCCUUCGGGUUGUAAACCUCUUUUAUCGGGGAGCAAGCGAGAGUGAGUUUACCCGUUGAAUAAGCACCGGCUAACUACGUGCCAGCAGCCGCGGUAAUACGUAGGGUGCAAGCGUUAUCCGGAAUUAUUGGGCGUAAAGGGCUCGUAGGCGGUUCGUCGCGUCCGGUGUGAAAGUCCAUCGCUUAACGGUGGAUCCGCGCCGGGUACGGGCGGGCUUGAGUGCGGUAGGGGAGACUGGAAUUCCCGGUGUAACGGUGGAAUGUGUAGAUA